UUGUCGGAAGUUGUCCAACAACACGCACCGGCAAUCCGGGAGGACGGAUAGCACGAGGAAUGGCAACCGGAACCACCGAUGGCACUGCAUUUGUCGUCGGAAGUUGUCCAACAACACGGACUGGUACAUCUGACUGACGAAGCUACUUAUCACAUACCCGCAUUGUAUGUCCCCAUUCUUGGUGUUUCCGGGUUACUCGCCAUCGCGCUGUAGUCGGAUCAUACUGCACCUGUCCUGCUUCGAUUAAUGUCUCCCCAAAGACAAAAUUAGAGCACGCGUUCCUAUUCCUCAUCCUCCGGCACCGUCUGGAGAAUGUGGGAGUCACUGCUCUAUAAAAACCACCGGACUACCACAAACUGGAAACAGCGGAAAACCCCGUGGGUCACCGGCCACCGUGCUAAAUUGAAGCAAAGUUGAACUAAUAUGCCGUGUGAAAAAGCCAAAUAAAUUUUUCAUUUUAAUGUUUAUUAAGCUACACCGACAUUAUAUUUUUCAUCUAAAACGUUUUUGAUGUGUUUUUUCUCAUUGCGUUUAGGCGUCGUGUAUCAGAUCGCAACUGCUAAUAAUUUCGUCGUCUGAGACGGACUGUUAUGGAGGUACAAAAUCUUCAGUGAUGCGUUCACGCAUCUACGAGCCGGUAAUUGGCGGUAUCCAGAUCAUCGUCGUACUGUUAGCUUACCUAAGCUACCGAAAUUAGCGACAGUGUAAAAUCUGUGCUGUGAGACCUACAGUUGCCUCUCACAACCGUCCGGAAGUCGCAGUGAUUUGGUAACAUCAAGUGCAUCACCACCGCACGAAGCGCAGCAUAUUGACGCAAGCCCAAGCGAACAGCAACCACCUGCAGCAAACGUACGCCGAACGAAUGGUCGUGGUAGACGCGUUAGGAUUGCAAGGCGAUACUUGCGCUCUGAAACAGAUGUUUGGACCACAGAGGUGACGUUCCGAGAUUGUAAAAACAUGUCGGGCCCACAGUUUCAGAUAAGCCGUUCUCAUCAAUGCCAUACCAUGUACGGUCGGCUAGUUACACUUCAUCACGAAGGACAAUCACAUCUGGGUCACGGAAUGCUGCCAAAACGAUGAAGCUGGUUUAGUCCUCGAUGACGACGCAACUCCUGCACGUUCGUCGUCAUACUAUCAUUUCAACUGGAGGCAUGUUUGUUUAGGCGGCUACAACAAAUUGUUUGAACAUGUUCAAAACAACAUGGCUUCUCACAAUUACUAGUGAAUGCUGGAAAUCUCCGUGAUAGCCAUUUUCGUGCGCUGAAUUAGGUUUGUAUGAAAAAUAGUGUAUUUUUAGAAUAUUUAAUUAUCAAUAAAAUAACGGUCGAUUUGAAAA